GGGCGGCGGUGCGUGGCCAUGUUGCGGGUUCCUGGAUGUCUCGGCUCUCAGAGGACUGACGCUGUAGCGGGACGGAGACUCCAGAGUCGACCGAGAAGGGGAGUGAGCAGACGUCUGCGGGGGGAAGAUGGCGGAAAACGUUCAGCUGGCAGAUGGCACCAGGAGGAGGAGGAGGAGGAGGAAGGGCAGGAGGACAAGGAGGGACCUUUAUCUGGUACCUGAUAGGAGCUGACAGAGCGGAGCAGAUCGGGCAGCACUCUGAAUAAUAAAUAUGCUCUGUGAACGAAAACGAC